GGUUAAGCGACUAAGCGUACACGGUGGAUGCCCUGGCAGUCAGAGGCGAUGAAGGACGUGCUAAUCUGCGAUAAGCGUCGGUAAGGUGAUAUGAACCGUUAUAACCGGCGAUUUCCGAAUGGGGAAACCCAGUGUGAUUCGUCACACUAUCAUUAACUGAAUCCAUAGGUUAAUGAGGCGAACCGGGGGAACUGAAACAUCUAAGUACCCCGAGGAAAAGAAAUCAACCGAGAUUCCCCCAGUAGCGGCGAGCGAACGGGGAGGAGCCCAGAGCCUGAAUCAGUGUGUGUGUUAGUGGAAGCGUCUGGAAAGGCGCGCGAUACAGGGUGACAGCCCCGUACACAAAAAUGCACAUGCUGUGAGCUCGAUGAGUAGGGCGGGACACGUGGUAUCCUGUCUGAAUAUGGGGGGACCAUCCUCCAAGGCUAAAUACUCCUGACUGACCGAUAGUGAACCAGUACCGUGAGGGAAAGGCGAAAAGAACCCCGGCGAGGGGAGUGAAAAAGAACCUGAAACCGUGUACGUACAAGCAGUGGGAGCACGCUUAGGCGUGUGACUGCGUACCUUUUGUAUAAUGGGUCAGCGACUUAUAUUCUGUAGCAAGGUUAACCGAAUAGGGGAGCCGAAGGGAAACCGAGUCUUAACUGGGCGUUAAGUUGCAGGGUAUAGACCCGAAACCCGGUGAUCUAGCCAUGGGCAGGUUGAAGGUUGGGUAACACUAACUGGAGGACCGAACCGACUAAUGUUGAAAAAUUAGCGGAUGACUUGUGGCUGGGGGUGAAAGGCCAAUCAAACCGGGAGAUAGCUGGUUCUCCCCGAAAGCUAUUUAGGUAGCGCCUCGUGAAUUCAUCUCCGGGGGUAGAGCACUGUUUCGGCAAGGGGGUCAUCCCGACUUACCAACCCGAUGCAAACUGCGAAUACCGGAGAAUGUUAUCACGGGAGACACACGGCGGGUGCUAACGUCCGUCGUGAAGAGGGAAACAACCCAGACCGCCAGCUAAGGUCCCAAAGUCAUGGUUAAGUGGGAAACGAUGUGGGAAGGCCCAGACAGCCAGGAUGUUGGCUUAGAAGCAGCCAUCAUUUAAAGAAAGCGUAAUAGCUCACUGGUCGAGUCGGCCUGCGCGGAAGAUGUAACGGGGCUAAACCAUGCACCGAAGCUGCGGCAGCGACGCUUAUGCGUUGUUGGGUAGGGGAGCGUUCUGUAAGCCUGUGAAGGUGUACUGUGAGGUAUGCUGGAGGUAUCAGAAGUGCGAAUGCUGACAUAAGUAACGAUAAAGCGGGUGAAAAGCCCGCUCGCCGGAAGACCAAGGGUUCCUGUCCAACGUUAAUCGGGGCAGGGUGAGUCGACCCCUAAGGCGAGGCCGAAAGGCGUAGUCGAUGGGAAACAGGUUAAUAUUCCUGUACUUGGUGUUACUGCGAAGGGGGGACGGAGAAGGCUAUGUUGGCCGGGCGACGGUUGUCCCGGUUUAAGCGUGUAGGCUGGUUUUCCAGGCAAAUCCGGAAAAUCAAGGCUGAGGCGUGAUGACGAGGCACUACGGUGCUGAAGCAACAAAUGCCCUGCUUCCAGGAAAAGCCUCUAAGCAUCAGGUAACAUCAAAUCGUACCCCAAACCGACACAGGUGGUCAGGUAGAGAAUACCAAGGCGCUUGAGAGAACUCGGGUGAAGGAACUAGGCAAAAUGGUGCCGUAACUUCGGGAGAAGGCACGCUGAUAUGUAGGUGAAGUCCCUCGCGGAUGGAGCUGAAAUCAGUCGAAGAUACCAGCUGGCUGCAACUGUUUAUUAAAAACACAGCACUGUGCAAACACGAAAGUGGACGUAUACGGUGUGACGCCUGCCCGGUGCCGGAAGGUUAAUUGAUGGGGUCAGCGCAAGCGAAGCUCUUGAUCGAAGCCCCGGUAAACGGCGGCCGUAACUAUAACGGUCCUAAGGUAGCGAAAUUCCUUGUCGGGUAAGUUCCGACCUGCACGAAUGGCGUAAUGAUGGCCAGGCUGUCUCCACCCGAGACUCAGUGAAAUUGAACUCGCUGUGAAGAUGCAGUGUACCCGCGGCAAGACGGAAAGACCCCGUGAACCUUUACUAUAGCUUGACACUGAACAUUGAGCCUUGAUGUGUAGGAUAGGUGGGAGGCUUUGAAGUGUGGACGCCAGUCUGCAUGGAGCCGACCUUGAAAUACCACCCUUUAAUGUUUGAUGUUCUAACGUUGACCCGUAAUCCGGGUUGCGGACAGUGUCUGGUGGGUAGUUUGACUGGGGCGGUCUCCUCCUAAAGAGUAACGGAGGAGCACGAAGGUUGGCUAAUCCUGGUCGGACAUCAGGAGGUUAGUGCAAUGGCAUAAGCCAGCUUGACUGCGAGCGUGACGGCGCGAGCAGGUGCGAAAGCAGGUCAUAGUGAUCCGGUGGUUCUGAAUGGAAGGGCCAUCGCUCAACGGAUAAAAGGUACUCCGGGGAUAACAGGCUGAUACCGCCCAAGAGUUCAUAUCGACGGCGGUGUUUGGCACCUCGAUGUCGGCUCAUCACAUCCUGGGGCUGAAGUAGGUCCCAAGGGUAUGGCUGUUCGCCAUUUAAAGUGGUACGCGAGCUGGGUUUAGAACGUCGUGAGACAGUUCGGUCCCUAUCUGCCGUGGGCGCUGGAGAACUGAGGGGGGCUGCUCCUAGUACGAGAGGACCGGAGUGGACGCAUCACUGGUGUUCGGGUUGUCAUGCCAAUGGCACUGCCCGGUAGCUAAAUGCGGAAGAGAUAAGUGCUGAAAGCAUCUAAGCACGAAACUUGCCCCGAGAUGAGUUCUCCCUGACUCCUUGAGAGUCCUGAAGGAACGUUGAAGACGACGACGUUGAUAGGCCGGGUGUGUAAGCGCAGCGAUGCGUUGAGCUAACCGGUACUAAUGAACCGUGAGGCUUAACCUUACAACGCCGAAGGUGUUUUG
rnacentral:rRNA from 1 species